UGCUGGCUUUCACAUGUCAUUCCUCCAGGUUGCCAAAAAUUAAGCCACCUUUGACCCUUGUGCUCCUUAAAGCUUCAUAAAUAGCCCCAGCAAAGAACUGCUGAGUCCCAGUUCACCCAGCUGAGUUUCCUGCCUCUUGAACUGGUUGCUCUGAGCUUCAGCCAUGAAGGCUUUUCUCCUCCUUGUUGCCAUCUUCUUGUUUUCCCACCAGCUAGUCACAGCAGCUGAUGAAAGUGACCCUCUUGUGAUUGCUUGUAAAACAAAACGUGGCUCCUGUUGGGGAAAAUGUCCACCCCCUAGCGUUACUGAAGGAAGAUGUCCUCGUGGUCAGGUUUGCUGUACAUGGGGUCCCCUUGGUCCAGUAUAAAAUAUCAGGAAAUUUUUGAAGAGUCUGAAGAGUUCUGAAGAAGAUAUUGAAAUAAUGGUGGUUGGAUGGUGUGCAAGCAAUUCUCCUGAGAUACAAAUAUUUUGAUUGAAUAUAUGAUCUAGAAAAAAAUAACUG